rnacentral:rRNA from 1 species
AUUGAACGCUGGCGGCAGGCCUAACACAUGCAAGUCGAGCGAGCGGCGGACGGGUGAGUAAUGUCCGGGAAACUGCCGGAUGGAGGGGGAUAACUACUGGAAACGGUAGCUAAUACCGCAUACCAUCAGAAGUGCACAGAUGGGAUUAGCUAGUAGGUGUGGUAACGGCUCACCUAGGCGACGAUCCCUAGCUGGGCUGAGAGGAUGACCAGCAACACUGGAACGGGUAAACGGUCCGGCCUCCUACGGAGGGCGGCAGUGGGAAAUAGUGCACAAGGAGGGCAAGCCUGAUGCGGCCCUGCCGCUGGUGUAAAAAAGGCCUUCGGGUUUAAAGGCACGUUAAGCGGGGAGGCGUUACCCGAAGAAGAAGCACCGGCUAACUCCGUGCCAGCAGCCGCGGUAAUUC